rnacentral:misc_RNA from 1 species
UUUCCGUAGGUGGACCUGCGGAGGGAUCAUUACAGAGUUCUCGCCCUCGCGGGUAGAUCUCCCACCCACUGUUAUCGUUACUGUGUUGCUUUGGUGGGCCGCCGGGCCCCGCUCGGCCGCCGGCUCCGGCUGGCGCGCGCCCGCCAGAGGCCCAGCAAACCCUGAAUGUUAGUGUCGUCUGAGUACUAUAUAAUAGUUAAGACUUUCAACAACGGAUCUCUUGGUUCUG